AUUGAACGCUGGCAGUAGGCCUAACACAUGCAAGUCGAACGGCAGCACAGAGGAGCUUGCUCCUUGGGUGGCGAGUGGCGGACGGGUGAGGAAUACAUCGGAAUCUACUCUGUCGUGGGGGAUAACGUAGGGAAACUUACGCUAAUACCGCAUACGACCUACGGGUGAAAGCAGGGGACCUUCGGGCCUUGCGCGAUUGAAUGAGCCGAUGUCGGAUUAGCUAGUUGGCGGGGUAAAGGCCCACCAAGGCGACGAUCCGUAGCUGGUCUGAGAGGAUGAUCAGCCACACUGGAACUGAGACACGGUCCAGACUCCUACGGGAGGCAGCAGUGGGGAAUAUUGGACAAUGGGCGCAAGCCUGAUCCAGCCAUACCGCGUGGGUGAAGAAGGCCUUCGGGUUGUAAAGCCCUUUUGUUGGGAAAGAAAUCCAGCUGGCUAAUACCCGGUUGGGAUGACGGUACCCAAAGAAUAAGCACCGGCUAACUUCGUGCCAGCCGCCGCGGUAA
rnacentral:rRNA from 1 species